UACGUAGGGUGCAAGCGUUGUCCGGAAUUAUUGGGCGUAAAGAGCUCGUAGGCGGUCUGUCGCGUCUGCUGUGAAAACUCAGGGCUUAACCCUGAGCUUGCAGUGGGUACGGGCAGACUAGAGUGCGGUAGGGGAGACUGGAAUUCCUGGUGUAGCGGUGAAAUGUGUAGAGAUCGGGAGGAACACCGGUGGCGAAGGCGGCAUCCUGGACCGGUAUUGACGCUGAGGAGCGAAAGCCAGGGGAGCAAACGGG
rnacentral:rRNA from 1 species